rnacentral:rRNA from 1 species
AUGAGAUUGUCGAGACCCUGCGCUUGUGUGUUUUGCUACAACCUUGUACUGUUUUUGCUACAACCUUCUACAUUUUUUGCUACUACUGGAGAAGUCCCUAGCUGGACCACAAGUUAUUUUUGCUACAACCGUUUUGUGGUUUGCUGCAACCAGUGUCAAUUUUUGCUACCACCGACUUCUUUGAUUUUUCUGGAACCAGCGCUCGAUUUUUUAUUUUUGCUACCACUAGCGUUUCGAUUUGCUGGAACAAGCUUCAAUUUUUGCUACCAUCAGGUUUUUGGUUUGUUGGAGCGUCGUCGAUUUUUUCUAAUUUUGCUACCAACAUUUUAUUAUUUGCUGGAACCGUCAAGAAUUUUUGCUACGGGCGGUGGAAUUUUUUGCUGCGACUGGCAAAUUAAGGAUGAGGAACAACACGAGCUCUACAACGGGUGCUGCGGCCGGUGA